rnacentral:lncRNA from 1 species
AAGGAUUAAGCUUAUGAACCUGUUGAGGGAGAGAGAAGAAUCUGCUAGAUUAUGGGCUACAUCUUUCAGUCCACAUAGUAUGAAGUUAUACAAUGAGUACCUGAAGAUAGCUAAUAGAUGUUUUGUUAACUCCAAUGGUGACUCUGGCUAUGAAGUCAGAGAAGAUGGAGAUACGCACACUGUCAACCUGGCUAUUAAGAGAUGCAUUAUCUAAAGAUAGCUAAUAGAUGUUUUGUUAACUCCAAUUGUGAAUUUGGCUAUGAAGUCAGAGAAGAUGGAGAUACGCACAUUGUCAACAUGGCUAUGAAGAGAUGCACAUGUAGGGGAUGGGAUCUCACUGGAAUUCCAUGCCCCCAUACCAUUAAAGCUAUUUAGUACAAGAAGAUGGAUCAUUUGGAGGAAAUAAAUUGGUGGUAUAGCAAAGAAGCAUAAAUGCUUACUUAUAUACACAAAUUGCAGCCAGUUAGGGGUGAAAAAUUUUGGAAAGUUGAAGAAUCUCAAGCAAUGAAACCACCUGAGUUAGUCAAAAUACAUGCUUACUUAUAAACAGAAAUUGCAGCCAGUUAGGGGUGACUAUUUUUGGAAAGUUGAAGAAUCUCAGGCGAUGAAACCACCUGAGUUAGUCAAGUUGGCUGGGAG